UACGGGGGGGGCAAGCGUUGUUCGGAAUUACUGGGCGUAAAGGGCUCGUAGGCGGCCAACUAAGUCAGACGUGAAAUCCCUCGGCUUAACCGGGGAACUGCAUCUGAUACUGGAUGGCUUGAGAUUGGGAGAGGGAUGCGGAAUUCCAGGUGUAGCGGUGAAAUGCGUAGAUAUUCGCAAGAACACCAGUGGCGAAGGCGGCUCACUGGCCCGGUACUGACGCUGAGGCACGAAAGCGUGGGGAGCAAACAGG
rnacentral:rRNA from 1 species